UAAAAAAUCAGUAGUCUGUUGUAAUGGUU
rnacentral:piRNA from 1 species